GACGAACGCUGGCGGCGUGCUUAACACAUGCAAGUCGAACGGUGAAGCGCCUUCCUUUUUGGUGGGUGUGGAUGAGUGGCGAACGGGUGAGUAACACGUGAGUAACCUGCCCCCUUCUUGGAUAACCGCAUGAAAGUGUGGCUAAUACGGGAUAUUCUGGGUCUGUCGCAUGAUGGGUCUGGGAAAGAUAUUGUUUCGGUGGGGGAUGGGCUCGCGGCCUAUCAGCUUGUUGGUGGGGUGAUGGCCUACCAAGGCGGUGACGGGUAGCCGGCCUGAGAGGGUGGACGGUCACACUGGGACUGAGACACGGCCCAGACUCCUACGGGAGGCAGCAGUGGGGAAUAUUGCACAAUGGGCGCAAGCCUGAUGCAGCGACGCCGCGUGAGGGAUGGAGGCCUUCGGGUUGUGAACCUCUUUCGCCAGUGAAGCAGGCCUGCCUCGUUUGUGGGUGGGUUGACGGUAGCUGGAUAAGAAGCGCCGGCUAACUACGUG
rnacentral:rRNA from 1 species